rnacentral:rRNA from 1 species
GCUGGUAAUUAUUGUGUAGGGACUAUACCCGAUCCCAUACCGAACUCGGAAGUCAAGUCCUUAAGCGCCAAUGGUACUUUGUCUUAAGACAGGGAAGAGUAGAACAUUGCCAGGC